rnacentral:rRNA from 1 species
AGUGAACGCUGGCGGCAGGCCUAAUACAUGCAAGUCGAACGGCAGCACAGUGGAGCUUGCUCCAUGGGUGGCGAGUGGCGGACGGGUGAGGAAUACAUGGGAAUCUGCCCAGUCGUGGGGGAUAACGUAGGGAAACUUACGCUAAUACCGCAUGCGCCCUUCGGGGGAAAGCCGGGGACCUUCGGGCCUGGCGCGAUUGGAUGAGCCCAUGUUCGAUUAGCUAGUUGGCGGGGUAAAGGCCCACCAAGGCGACGAUCGAUAGCUGGUCUGAGAGGAUGAUCAGCCACACUGGGACUGAGACACGGCCCAGACUCUUACGGGAGGCAGCAGUAGGGAAUUUUGGACCAGGGGCGCAAGCCUGAUCCAGCCAUGCCGCGUGAGUGAAGAAGGCCCUCGGGUUGUAAAGCUCUUUUGUCCGGGAAGCAAAGCAUCGGGCUAAUACCUCGGUGUUCUGACGGUACCGGAAGAAUAAGCACCGGCUAACUUCGU